rnacentral:lncRNA from 1 species
UAGAACUGUGCUGAAGAUGUGUGCUUAACCGUGUAGUUUUUUUCUGCAGCUAAAAUUCAGCUGAAGCUUUACAAACUAGCUGAACACUAAUUCAUAGAGCUAUCCUUUCCUUUGCUUUGUUUUUCCUGUAGAAUUGGUUAAGCAUAAUCUGAGUGGUGUAUACCCAACACAUUUCUUAAUGGCCAUGCAUGCAAUUAUAAUCUAAUUGGGACACGACUAACAAGCUGAUUUACAUUAGCAUGCUCAUGUAUGUUUUCACAACCUGGCCCUUGUCUUGCAGAUCCUCGAAACGAGCCAAGAACCAUUAAAUGUUUUCACAACCUGGCCCUUGUCAUGUAUGUUUUACAGAUCCUCAAAACGAGCUUAAACUUUGUUAUGCAAGAUCUCUUCAUGUGUCAUAAUGAUACAAACACGAGCUACAUAAUUUAGGCAUUUACAAUUAUAAUUAAGUGAUAAUUUGGCAGAACAACAUGUUAGAAAUUCGGUGAUUUAUCAUUCUAACUACUGAAAUUAUAGGAUGCACUAUUUUGUCAAGUGUGGUGUUUAUUCGAGAAGGCAACAAAGAGGUAUGGCAGGACUGCUUUGUUGCACAUGUUCGAAAGUUGCGUCUUACCUGCUUUAAAUAUAGUAGUUGAGACUUCUGGGGGCAUGCCGUUUCAUCUUGAGCUUUCUUAACUAACAGAGAAAUGAAAUAACUUAUCAAAGCCUUUUUGUACGGUUUUUCUUUUCACUUCAAAAACAUUUUCGCAAAUUGGAACUUCAUAGCCAGUUUCCAAAUUCAAAGAAAUCACCUACCAUGGCCUUGUUCCUUUUCUUAAACUUCUCAUUCUGCAUCAGCCAAACUCCCAGCCAUUUCAAUGUCAAGCUCGUUGAGCAACUUGAAAUCACAAUUCAUAGCAAAUAUAUGAACAACUAACCAUGCUUUAUAUUUUUGAUAGGUGUUCUAAAACUAGAAGCAUUUCCUUAGUUCAAAUCCUGUACCAUGUAUAUACAUGCUACCCUCUUUUGAUGUACUUCAACAAGCUUAUCAACAAAUAUAUACCAGAUGCUACAUCGGCAUGUUAUUAUUUUGUUAGUGUAGUCACAUGAACUUCAUAUGAUUUAGCUGCAUUGUCAUAUAUUUAUUCACAAGAUCUGCUCGUCUAUAUCUGUCAAGACUGGAAACCUUGAGACGGUGAUCAAACAUUUGGUUGAAGGAAUCAGCAAACAGAUGUUUUCGAGGUACACCUAUGAUCUACGUGUCAACUCUCAAAUGUCUAGUACUGCAAAACUGUUGUAUGGCCAUGAUGGUGCUUUAUUUAUUUUUCUGUCUUUUGUGUAUACAGACCAAUACUUCGUUCUUAUUUUCAGAUACUUACAAUCUUGCAUGUUAUUGCUGGCAUGAGUUUUGUAUGUCCACGACUGUUGUGAUACUGUUAAUAUGAUGCAGAUUUGUGUUCUUGUGUAUGCUGCAAUAUUUUUGAUAUUUUAGAGAAGUGCUAAAUUUGUGACCAUUAUUUUCAGCAUCAUGUUGUGAGCUCUGAUGUUCCUCUCAAGACUUGGAUCGGCAACCUGAUGCAAGUGCUCAAGGGAUAUCUGGAGCAUGUACUUGUCAAGGCGAUGUGAUGCAUGUGUAGUUAAUUACCAUGUUGAUUGGAAGUGUUUCGAUCUAGCAACAGUAGCUGAUAUGUGGCCUUGUCUAUAGUAGGUUGUAGAUUAAACUUGCAGUGUUUAGACCAUUUUGCAACUUAAGCUAGCUUUUUUGGAUCGAUGGGUGGUAUGAAUAUGUUGUAUGAUGAUGAAUAUUCGGUCAUCUAUGAAUUAUUUGAAUUAUGGCUGAUAUAUAUCCAAAUUUGGUGUAUUGUUGCUUUGGUUGCGAUUGUUUGUUGCAGCCUGUUUCUAGUAUUAAUAAAUGGUUGAUAUGAAUCCAAAUAUAUAUUU